UAUUUUUGUUUAUCAGAGCUAUAUCUAACUCUUUAUCUUUUCUGAUUAUGCUAUUCAUUAUAUAUAGAAUCUAGAUGAUGUGGAUUUUGGUUAUAACUCUUCAUUUCUUUUUGUUUUCAAUCAUUUUUUCCUUGAAAGUGAAUCAUAUUAUCACAGAGAAAAAUGCACUGCAUAACGUGAGUAGAUAUUUGCAUAAGAAUAAGCUUAUGGUUGAGAGCGGUCGUGCAGACUAACAAAAUCUAGGAUAAAAUGUAGUGCAUGCUAGAUUUUAAGGGAAUAGCUCUUGAGAAUAUAUCGAAUAAGGAAGCUUACGUAGGACAUUUCCAUAUGGGCUGAAAGUUUAUAUUGGACAGAGGCAGGUUAACAUUAGUCAAAUGCUUCGUUAGAAGCAUUUUGAAUCAUGGCUGUUCAUUGCACUUGCUAAGAAAUACAUCUGGAUCAAUCUUCCUGAAUGUCUCUCACACUUGCUCCUGCUUAACACAAAUCCUCAUGAGAAUGUGAGUUUACCUUCUCCAAUGUUCUCCCACUCUUUAAACAUCGUGGUCAAUGCCCCUGUGCGACUUGCAUGUGAAUUGAGUCUGGGUUUAGGAGGAGCCACCAUGAGAUGCAAAAAGGGUUCCAAUGUUCCAUAGUAUAUGAGGCCUUGUGUUAUGGUUCUGGGUUGUGGAUCUGGUUAUAGGUUUGUGGGCUAAGGGUACAGUAGGAGCAGGAGUUUGAGUGUUUGGGUUAAGAGUCUUUUUACAACUUCUGGUCAUUAAUAAUUCAGGCUCUAAAAAAAGGAACCUGAAACCUACGAGACUUAAAGCGUUCAAGACGUAACUGAUUUUGGAAAUUGUCAUCUUCAUUGAUAUUAUUGCUUAAAUAUAGAAAGGAAGUAUAACUGCUUUCGACAUCAAAUGAGUACUACUUCAACAUGGAGGAACACCCUCCUCAACUAACCGCAUGAAAUAAAAAGCGGAGGAAUACCCUCCUACAAACAGGAAAUCAUUAAAACAAUUAACUAAAAAAUAGCUGAAAGAUAACUGAAAUAUUUGACUAAUUCAAAGGCUCAAUAUGUGGCUGCUUUGACUUGGAUCCAUGACUGAAUCGGAUAUAGACUUGCAGUGGUUUGGUAACACCUUGCUAACUGUGGUUUUGGCAACAUAGUGUAUGCAGCGUUCUCUUUCAUUGCAAGAAGGCUGUAUGCCUGUAUCUUAACCAUGGGCUAGGAAAGUGACUUAGUGGAUCAGGAUUUUGAAGCUGCGGGUUUUGCAGAGACAGAUGGAUACAGCCUUCCACUUCGAUGGGAGGAGGCUGUAUAAUAUGUAAACUAGUAAAACAACAAUCCCUGUAGCUUGGCCUGGUCAGCCAAGCGUUGCACAGAACAAGUAAAGCUUUUGUUUGUUCAAUGGACCAAGUUGAUUCCUGCUUGGCCCGGUAUGCCUUGGUCGCCUUCUCUGAUGCCUCUAAUGUUAAAACACGAGAAAAUUACUAUUUAGUCCCUGUAGUAUAAGAAAACUGAUUAAUUGGCCCUUCCAUUUUCAAAAAUACAUUAAAUUGUCUUUGAGGUUUUAAAAAAAUUCACUAAUUGGUCCCUUCAUUAAAUUUAGCUGUUAAAUGUUAGAAAAAAAAAAAUCAAAAUGCCUGCAUAUAGAACUAAUAAGUAGGUUUUUUUUUUAAAAUUCAUGAACCAACUAAUGAAUUUUUUCACAAGACAGGAACUAAAUAGUAAUAAUUCAAUUGAAACAUUCAUGGAAUCUUGAACCUGAAGUGUAUUUGCAAAACAGAUUUUAUAUGGACCUUUCGGCAUUUACAGCUUAGUGACAGAAUACUGUAUCACCAGGCUUUGUUUUAGAAGCACCUCUAUUUUAUUUUGAUCUCCUUUUUCUUCCUUAAACCUUACUGCUUUUCAGAAUAGACAGAUGUCUAUUUAAAAUCUGUUCAUAUCAUUUCUACUUGCAACUGUCUAACAGUUGGCUUUUGUCCUCGUAAUUAAAGGGAUGGCGAAAAAAGAACAGAUUAGUGUUUAACUCUCUUCCCUCCUUCCUUCUUCAUUUGAUUGCUAAUUGGGUGCCUCUUUCAGGAUCGGUCAGUGCUGCCAACUGCAAGGAAUUGGCAGCUCAGCCGGAUGUUGAUGGCUUUUUGGUUGGUGGAGCCUCGCUAAAGGUAAUGAUGUGGUUCUUAUUUCAUUUUAAAUUUUAUCCCCAAUUUUAUCCUUGUCCUUACAUUCCUUGUUUUUUCUUUUUGUGCUUUCGUCAUCAGCCGGAGUUCAUCGAAAUCAUCAAGUCUGCAGAGGUAAAGAAAAAUGCUUGAACCUGCACACUAGGCAGUAGGCAUUGGUGGUGACUCUUAGAAGCUUGUGUCGAUAUCGGGGCAGGUACAGAACCGAUUGAGUGUAAUUUUAGACAUGCUUUUUCGAGGAAAUAAAAUUUUCUUCCUGUAAUGAGAUACUGCACCUCAAACUGGUUUUCUAUAUUUAAAUAGAUUAUAAUAUUAUUUCCUUCUCAAUUUUUUUUUUCUCAAAGAUAAAAGAAAUUUCAUUCAAUAAAAAGGCAUUACGGUCCAAUGCAAUAGACAAAGGCCCAAAGGUCAUAGAAAACAAUCUAGAGUUCAUACAGAAAAAGCCUAAUACACCAUAUACUCUAGUAACCCAAAACCAAAAAACUUGACCUGAUUUUGACCCGGCAAAAACGAAUUGCUCCUCGUCUCUGGAAGCUCUAAUCACCGUUGUUGGUUGAAAAGAUUGAAGCCGAAGAAAACUAUAGCAGCUCAAAAGACAUUCGUACUUAUUGAGGAACUUAGGAGAAAGCAUAAAACAAUAUGCAACUUAAUUUCUAAAAACAAACAAAGAACGAAAGAGAGAGAGAGACCAGAAGGAAUGUAUGAACCAAAUGGAAGAACACCACCGAAGCUGGUAUUACGAAAGAGAUCUUAAAAGAAAAUCUUGGAACAUCAAUAUUAACGUUGGAGAAGAAGAGAUUUCGAAUAGCAACCUCAAUCGCAAGCUGUCACUCCUUGAGCUCCAUCGAUCGUCUCUCGCCUCGAGCAGUCAUUGCUAAAACUGAGAAAACUCAACUCCAUAUCUGAUAUCUGAAACAGGGCUGGCAAAAGGGAUAGCCACAGAAGUUCCUCUUCCAUUGGGAAUUUAUUUGAAGAACACCUAUUUGAAGAAGAAAAAAGAAAAUCAAAAAAACAUCUAAACAAAAUACAAAGGCAAAACCAUAGAAAACUUUCCCAAAUAAAGUUCAACCUAACUAGAAGAAAAAAAAAAAAAUCAAAGUAAAAAUAUUUACACCUCACUCAGAUGGGAGUUGCCGCAACUCUAGCAAAAAAAAAGACUUACUGUCUCACAAAAGUAAAAAAUCUAUACAAAGGAACUUCUCUCCAACGAGAGAGAAAAAGUAGGCAAUUUCUUCUCAAUUCUCAUGCUUUUGAUGUAGUUUUUUUUAUUAAGAAACUAGAUUUUAUCCUUGCUUUUGUUAUUUGCAUUUUAUGGCUCGUAAUUGAAUUUGAGGGUUCUGGUUCAAUGGCUCACUACUUAAUAGCAUCAAACAGAUAUACAAAUUAUUAAAUUUAAGGGAUCCAUUAGUUAAAAUAAAAGCUUAGUAGAUUUUUUUGUAUAAGCCCUUGUAGACUUAAAAGGAUGGAAUAUAUGGGAUUGGGCUCAAGAUAUUAUUUUCUAAUGACAAAUGAAGGAAGAAAAAGCUAACCAUUCUGCCAUCUUGGGAAUUAGGCACUUGAUGUUAAGAUAAUUUAGAUAGUGAAGUUUACGUUUACAAGGGAAGGAUUGAAUUUCAUGGCAUGCCUUGUGCUUUGUAAAAUGAUUGUCUCUCACGCUGUACUCUCAUCAAAUCAAAAGAUGUAGGAAUUAAAUUAAUGGUCCCUCUCACUCGAAAGGAAUUCCAAGCUCAGACUUUUAGGAAUUUCUUCUGAGAGAUAAUAUUGUUUUCCGGGAUUUGUCCAUUCUUGCUGGUAGGUUGCCAAUCAUUGAGAUAAUUUAUAUGAGUGAGCCUAACAUAUGAUGUAUAAUUAUUAUUAAUAUUAAAUUAAUGAUUGAUAAUAAUAAAAAUUAGGUAAUAAUGUGAAUUUUGUAGAUAUAUGUCAGCAUGUUUUUUGUUUUUGUUACUUUAUAUUAAAAUUAUAAAUUUAUCUUAGUUAUAUUUUUUAUUAAUUUAAGUGUAUUAUAAAAUAUUUUGAAAAUGAUGCUCCUUUUAAAUAAAAUUUAAAGGGAAAAUUAUAUAUUUGACAUUUUUAAAUAAUACGGGUGUAUAUAUAAUGUCAUAAAUAUUUAAUUUAUUUUUAUCAAUUAAAUCUUUUAAUUAAUUUAAUUGCUAAAAUUAAAAUCAAUAUGAAGAUUUGAAGACUAAAAUGAUAAAAGUAAAUCAGUUUAACUAAAAUUAGAAAAUUCAUCAUUGUAAACAUUUUUCUAUAUAUUUACUUUACACAACCCUGAAAUGAAAUAUUAAUGAAUGAUUAUAUUAGUAAUUUUUAACAAUAUUACUGUUGUUUACUACAGUGAAAUAAUAUUAUUUUAAUAUAAAUUAAAUUUUAAAUUUUAAAAUAAAAAUGAGUAAAAUUAUAUAAUAUUUUUUAUUUUUUAUUUUUUAAUAUAAUUGAUAUUAAUGUAAAAGAACUAUAUAUUCAUUUUAUUUUUUAAUAUAUUUCCUACAGGAUAACAUUUUGCAGACUGUUCAAAGAGAGAAUCAAAUAAUAAUAAUAAUAAAAGCCAACUAUUCAAACGUAAAAUAGAUAGGAAACGAAUAAGUAGUUGAAUUUCUAAGCAUGCAUGUGAGUCAACGAAUACCAAACUCAUAAAAUACUAUAAUCAUAAUAAGAUAAUUAUCCUCUAUUUAUUUCAAAUAAAAUAAAUUUGUGCGAGAAAUAUAUUUAAGGAAAAUUAUUUUUUAAAAUAAUAUUUUUAUUAUUUAAUUAUAAUAAUAAAUAAUAUUUUUAAAAAUUUUUUAUAAAUUAUUAAAAAAUAAAAAAAUAUUUUAUCUUUAAAAUAUUUUUUGUCCUUGGAUGUUUGUCAAAUGACAUCACCGUUGGACAAGCAUCGUGACGACAGAAUUACACCAAACUUCCUAAAUUAAGCACUCAAUAAAAUAUCAAAAGAUUCUAAAAAUGAGAAAAUAUCCAUCAAGAUAUUCCAUAUUCGAUUAUAAAAUUUUAAUUUAAUUUAAUUAUUUUUCUAUAAAUACAUAAUAAACUGCACAAAUUAUUAAUGGGUGACCUUAAUUCAACCAUAUAAAUUUGAUAAUUAAUAUUUUGAAAAUUCCAUUUGAAAAUUUUUGUUUCCAUUUUCCUUCAAUUUGUAGAGAAAACAGACAUGGCUUGUAAAAUUUAUUUUCUUUUGUAUAUUUUACUCUCAAACUUGUGGUCCUCCCUUUAUUUUCAUCCAUCCAAACAUGGCAGUAAUGGGGCAUGAAUAGGUUUAGGUGAUGGGUAUGCAUACACUGAAUUGGUCUGAAACCAAAAAAAGGAAAAAAAAAAAGGGUUUCGUUAAAAGCAAGAAGCUAAAAUUCACAAUUCUCAACACACGUCAUAAAGGAGAGUCAAAGAAUGGCAGAUGGGUACGUGAACCAAUAUUCAAUUUUUUAACAUAUCUAUUCUUUUGCAAAAGUCAAUUUCAUAGGGUAGGGCUUCUUAAUGAAAUAGCUAUAAUUUUAUCACUCAACCUAUUUUAUUUAUAUUAGGAUGAGUAAUUGUUCGGUUAAAUUAAAAUUUUGAUAUUUAUAAAAAUAAAUUAAAUUAAUUUAAUUUAAUUUAAUUUGAUAUUUUAAAUUUUUAAUAAUUUUUUAUUUUUUAUAUUUUAUUUUUAGUAUUUUAAAAAUUAAUUAAAAUAUUAUAAUAUUAAUAUGAUUUAAUUUUUUUAUAUUAUUGAAAAUAAUAUAUUAUUAUUUGAUAACCGCUGGAUUUCUUAACCCCGAACCAGGGCCUCGACCAUAGCCAAAAGCCCAUCAAGCAGAGGCCCACAUACACACGUGAGACAAGCCUGACCCGUAUGCCUUCAAAGGCCGGGCUCACCCAUCUCCUUCAUUCAAGCCGGCCCAACCCGCGCCAAGCAAGCCCUCUCCUCUUGGGCUCAGCAUCUGGUCCGACUCUCAGCCCAGCCCAGUGUCAGACCCAACUCAGACAGCCUGGCAGAUCCAUACGGAUGUACGCAUGGGGAGAAUCAGAAGCCGUUACGCAUGGAGCAGGCGGCUGAUACCCUCGUACACCCAAAUCCGCAUGCCAGAGACGCGUGUCCCAAUCACAGAGAGGCCUUUACACGUCACCAUGAGCCAAGCAGAAAAGAUAAAAGGGGAGGUGGGAAGAGGAGUCUAAAAAAAGUGGUAUCAACCAUUGUCUUGUAAUACAAAACCCUUGUAAAACCCUAUUCCAUUGAAUCUCAGAUCAUCAUUAUUACUAAUAAGUAGGUUUGAUUUUUUUAAUUUUUUUAAUUAAAAUCAAAUCAAAAUUAAAAUAAUAAAAAAUUUAAAAUUAAAAAUCGAAUCGAACCGAAAUGAAUAAACAAUUAAAUUGAAUUUCUAAAUUAAUUCGAUUCGAUUGAUUUUUUUUAUUCGAUCGAUUUUUUUUGUUUGAACCGAAUACUGCUCACAUCUAAUGUAUAUUAUUUCUUUUUUGCCAAGUAUAUGUGUAUACUUAUUCUAAUAAAAAAAAUAUAUACAUAAUGAGUUGAGUAUUCGGUUAAUUUAUUCGAAAUCGAAUUGAAUUGAUUAAAAUUUAUGUGUCCAUGAAAAUCAAACUGAAUCAAUUUUAAAUAAAAAUGAAUCAAAUUGAAUCAGUAUAAGUCAGUUCAAUUCGAUUUGAUUUGAUUAGUUUGAUUUUUUAAUAAAUUUUUAUUUUUCACUUUAUUUUUAAUAUUCUAAAAUUUAAUUAAAAUAUUUCAACGUUGAUUAUAAUUUAAUCUCUUUAUAUUAUUAAAAAUAAUAUACUAUUAUCACUAAUCGAUUUGCUUUAAUUUUUUAUUUUUUUAUACUAAAAUCAAAUUGAAUCAAAAUAACUAGAAAUUUUAAAAUUAAAAAUCAAACUAAAAUCAAUAAAAAAUCAAAUUACAUUUUCAAAUUAAUUAAAUUCGACCAAAUUUUUUAAUUUCAACAGAAUAACACUCAUUCGUAUGUAUAUAUUUAUUUAAUUUAAAAAAAUUAAAACAUAUUAACUAUAUAAAGAGCUGCAAGUUUUUUGAAAUCCCACAUCACAUAUGUACCACGUGAGUUAUAUAAAUUAGCAUGCUUUAAUAAAAUUAUUAUGAUUAUAUGAAAAAAAAAUCAUAUUUCUGAUUUGUAUAUUUGCAUUUAUCUACUUUUUUCAAAAAAAAAAAAAAAGUCAAAUAAGUUUGGCAUCACGAGAAUUUUCUUUUAUCUUCAUACCUUUCUUUUUCCAAAUUCAAUUUCUCAUCCAUGAUUUUAUCAUGAUCUCUUGAAGAUGAUUGUUACUACAUACUAUGGAUCUUUGCAAGGAGACAAUGCCACUUUGUUGCAUCUUAUGUCCUAUCUUAAUCUAAUCAUCUUGUGACUCACCACCUUGGAGCAUCUAGUCAAAAUAGCAACGGAUUGAAUCCACAUAACAUAAUACGUAUAAAAAUUGUAUUCAUGAAUCUUAGUAGGUAUAUAGGUAUUUCUAUUAAAAGAGAAAAUAUUAUAUAUUUUAAAAUUUUUAAAAAUUAUUAUUUUAUUUUUAUAAUUUUAGAACACUAGCUAAUUGAUUUUUUAAUUUUAAAAAAUAUAUUAAAAUAUUUUUAACAUUUUAAAAAUUUUACUAAUUAUUUUAUCGAUUAAUCUUAAUAAUUAAAUAUUUUACUAUUUAGUUCUUAUAAUUUUAAAAAAUUUAUUAGUUGGUCUCUCACACUUUUAAAAAAUUUAUUUAUUAAUUUAUUUAUAUUAGAGAUAUUUUAAAUUUUUUUAUAAUAUUUAACAGUUAAAAUUAAUAAAAAAAUUAAUUAUCAAAUUUUUAAAAUUUCAAAAAUAUUUUAAUAUAUUUUUAAAAAUUAAGGUACAAAUUAAUGAGUUUUUUUAUAUCAUAAAAAUUAAAAAAUAAUCUGUUUAAAAAAUUUUUGUAUGUCAUUGGUAGGAUUUACAUCAUAUAAUUAAUUAAUAUAUAAAUUUACUAAAUGAGUAAUAUGCUUUUAAUUUUUUAAUUAAAUUAAGUCGGAGAAAAAAAUUAUUUUAAAUAGUGUUAAUUGCACAUAUAACAAUUUUAAAAAAAAAACUUCAAGUGGUAUCAUCUUUUAAUUUUGAAUAUACAUACAAUUUAAUUGUAAUUGAAAAUUUCAUAUGUAUAAAAAUAUUUAAAUAAUUUAUUAGAAGAUAAUGAAAUUUGAUUUAAUUUAUUUAGAAAAAGAGAAAAAUAUUAAAUUGAAAGAAACGGGAGAAUUAAAUGCAUUGGUAAUUGUUGAAUGUUGACAUCUCAAUCAAAACAAAGGUAGACUUUUAUGUUCUAGCUACCAUCACCUUCUUCAUGCCGGCAUUAAUUUGAAAAUAAUUGAAGUUGUACAAUUAUUUCAACCUCACCCUCCACCUCUUAAUAAUUAAUUAAUUAUUAAAAGAUAUGCUUAAUGUGGACAAAUGUUCUAAUCCAAUUGCCAAAAUGAAAAUGUGGCUUUGCCUUCUGUGCAAAGGUCAAGACAUCCAACCCUAAUAUAGUUGUGCGAAAAUAAGAUUGACAAAAGGGAAAAAAUUAAUUAAGACGUUGAUGUUAUGAAAUUCAGGAAAUAAGGUUUAUAGUUGUAACGACCCGGAAAUCCGACCCGUUACCGGCGCUAGAAUCCAGAUCGGCUUAAGGCCGCCGGGACCCGUAGCAAGCCUACAUACCUCCUGUAAACCUGUGGAAUCCCAUACAUAACAACAUAUACAUGAUCUGUAAAAAAAUUUUCUUUUCUCUUAUCCAAGCAAAACCUGUGCAUGCACAAAAUCAUACAUAAACCCCACACUGGAGUCCUCAUCAAAUACUCCAAUGGGGUAUCAUCAUCAUACAUAUCAGCUUGGAUAAUCAUGGUCAUUAACAUCAUUACUCAUUAAACACUCUGUACAUAAUGGGAAUUCACACACCUCUAGGUCAAGCACUACUAUAAUCCUCAAUACAUCAUCAAAUCAUUCAUUACAUUACAUGGUCAUAAUUACUCAUUACAUCAUGUUCAUGUCCACUACUAUCUAUUACAAUAUACAUGACUGAACUUCACUCUAGCCGACUUCCUGAUCUAUCCUGUACCUGCAACUCUGGGGAUAAAGGGAGUGGGGUGAGCUACUAGAGCCCAGUGAGCAGAAUAAUAAAACAUCAAUUUAAAUCAUGCUUUCAUGUAUGCGCCAUAACACAAACAUUUCACAACAAGGAUGAACUUGUCACCAUUUAGCCCCUAUCUUUCUUACUUAUACAUGCCGGGGGCGUAGAGCCGUAGCAGGCACACCCGGACUUCCAUAAUCUGUCAUAGUGCCAGGGGCGUAGAGCCGUAGCAGGCACACCUGGACUCACAUAGGCUAUCAUGACAUACAAGGGCUAAUGGAUCAUUCAACAUUCAUCCACAUCAACAACAAGGUAUGCAAUGCAACAUAUUCGUGAAUUCUAAUGCAAACAACCUAAUAUAUCUCAUGGCAUUCAUGAUGCGUGAAUCAUGCUAAAACAUUUCAUUAAUUUGCUUUAAAACUUAAAGUUUAUUCCACUCACCUCUGGCUAGCUCUGAAGAGACUCUGAAGCAGCUGGCUCACUGCUGGGGGUCUCGGUUCCUCGGGUCCGAACCUACACAGGUGGACUCAAAUGAGGGACCAAACAUACAUGAAUAUGACUCUAAAAUACUCCCCCAAAACCCCCUAAAACGUCCUGAAAACAUCACAUGAAAACAUGCAAAAAAAUGACCGAACAGGGCACUUUCGGCGGCAGGUUCGGCGGCCGAAAGUCCCUCUGCAGCCGAAAGUCAUGCAGGUUAGGCGGCACUUUCGGCGGCCGAACCUCCCAGACAGAGACGAAACUUGAGUUUCGGGGGCAGGCUUCGGCAGCCGAAACUGCCUCCACAAGGGGGUUCGGCGGCCGAAAGUCACUUCGGCGGCCGAACCUGAGUUUCUGCCGAAGGGCAGAAACUUGGCUCCCUUGUGUCCACAGCCUCCAAAACGCCUCAAAACAUGCAUAAACUUGUUUCUACACAUGCAUACACAUCAUACAUCACACCUAGGGGUCUCAAACUAUAAUAUACCCCAACUACAACACUUCAAACAACACAUUUCCAACAUACAUUGUUCAAAUCACAACAUAAACCCAUAAACCUAACAACAAGCCUAAACAUACAUUCUACCCCAUCAACUUGCAUAAAACUUUCAUAAAACAUAAAAGAAGCAUAGAUCGAAGCUUACCUCUUGAAGAUCGAGAGGAAGAACGACCCUAGCUCGGAAAAUGGAGGGAUUUAGCUCCAAGACUUCCAAGCCCCAAAACUUGUUUCAAAAGCUUAAAUCUUCAAAACCAAGGGAAAACAAGUGAAAAUCUUGAAAGAUUUAGAGGAAGAACAUCAAAAAUGGGUGAGGGGCGGCGGAAAGCUCACCUUGGCCGAAAAUGGGGAAAAACUCGCCCGUUUUCGGCUAAGGGACCCUUUUAUAGUGGCUGGCCAGACCACGUUCGGGGGCCGAAUGUGCCUCCGCAUGCAUGCCAUGUUCGGCGGCCGAACAUGAGGUUCGGCGGCCGAACCUGGACUUCCCUCACUCAUGCUUUCGGGGGCCUAACGUGCCUCCAAAACGCAUGCAUGUUCGGCGGCCGAACUUGACUUUCGGCGGCCGAACCUGGGUUUUCCUCCAAAGACUUUUCAUGCAAAAACUCAUUUAAUUUCUUACUUAAAAACAUGAAAUACAUGAAAACAUUUCAUAAAAUCAUAGUUUUACCCUUCUAGAGGUUUCCGACAUCCGAGGUCCCACCGGACGGUAGGGAUUCCGAUACCGGAGUCUAGCCAGGUAUUACAAUAGUAGUGGUGUAAGCUUAACUAUUGACGUUUAACGGUCACUGUGCCAUCUGCUUUUGUCACACUGGGACUUACGUAUGAAAACGUCAUGCACUUUUUUCACACUAGUCGACCAUUUAAUUUUUUUCUCUGACUGAGCUUCUUUUUAUUAGACUUGGACUGGUGAGUGAUCUGAUCCACUCCAUGCGUUCGGAUCAAGGCGGAAGGCGUUGAUCUGAUCGAUUCUAGAAACUUCAUAAACUUUAGACUGGUAUUGUCUUCGCAAGUCUAGCCUCAUACUGAAUCGGUAACGUCCAGAUAUCAAAUCUAAUAUUUUAAGGAUAUAUAUUUAUAUAAUAAAUGAAGCAAUGUUUGUUUUAAAGUGCAUAAUACAAAUUGAACAUUCAUGGUAAUUAUUAAGAAAUUUCAAAGUAAUAUCUUAUAUUAUAUUCAAAGAAUACAAUAAAUUAAUAAUACCCAUAAGAAUGUGAAGAGAUAAUUAGUCAAAGGACUUUUCUCUUUAUAAAUUUUUCCACUUGUUUGAUAAAAAUGCAUAAUUGAAGGCAUGGUCAACCUUUUCCACUUUGUCCAUGGCUAAAGCUCUCUGGUAAAAUAGAACUUUCUAAGAAAUCCCAAAAUAAGCACAAAGCGACAAAAACCACCCAUCUGCCUGCGUACUCGUCUCGUCUCUUUACUCUUAUUAGUAUCUUUCCCUCUCAAGCUUUCAUUCGGUCAAAUUGUGCGAUUGGUUGGUCAUCGUUGUGGGUGACAGCUAACUCUGCCUAUAAAGCUCGGUUUCACACUUGAUUUUUUUCCUUUGUUCACGGGUUCAAGCUUCCUUGCUUUGUUUUUGUCGGGUAUUUUGAGUUGGGUUUUUUCUACUUUGUAUAAUCUUUGGCAGCUGAAGGCUGGUGAGAAAGAGUGAGCAACUUGAAGCUUGAGCUUUGAGGUUUUUGUUCAUGGGUUCGUGCUUUAGUGUGAGAAUCAAAGCUGAGAGUCCUCUUCAUCAUGGUAUGUUUUUUUGCCUUGUUUUUCAUUUUUUUAAUGCUAAUUUGAGCUUUGUAAUUAGCGGCGGACUUUUGUUUUUCUUUCCUUUUCCGGGAUCUUUCUUUUAACGUGAAGCUGUUUGGUUUUGAUUAGUAAAACAGGAAAGACAGAAGCUUUAGAUAGCUUUUCUUGAAAAAGUAUAAUCAUGUUGGAUACUUUUUGCUUACAUUUUCGGUGUUAGAUUCUGUUUGGUUCCUGAGAAAAGGUAAAGGAAAGAAGAGAAAGCGAGAAUUUUAGCCCUUUAGACAAAAAGAAAAUUUUGAUUCCUUUCUAAGAUCCAAUUAAUCUUCACAGUAUUCUAUUGAUUUCACUGCGAAAUUUUGUUGCAUUACCAUUCUCUGCUCAUUAGAAAUUUUGUAUCACCAUCAAAGAAUUAUCCAAUCCAUUGAUUUUGUUUUCUUAAAAGUGUAGACAACCAAAAAUAGAUAAAAGAACACAAGCCUCUAGUUGUUUGAGCCUAACUAGCUCUGCCAUUUGGCAAUUGGCAAGGCUUAGUUAGUAGGGGCUUUGAUUAUGAUAGAAGUGUUUAAAUUUUACUUCCUGUUGUUUAUUUUCCCUUAAAUUGAUUUGCUAAUUGAGCAAAGAUUUGGUUAUUUAUUGGAUGGUGAGUUAGAUUGCUCAUUAUUUAUUUUAUUUGGCAUUAUAGCUUUUUGAUGGACUUGCAAGAUUUGUGAUAUUUAAUUGUUAAUUCUGUAGGGGCAGAUCCAAAAUCUGGCAGCAAAGGUGGAUAUGAUGCGAGUGGAACUAGCAGCACAGUGCCUUCAACUCCUCGGACUGAGGGCGAGAUCUUGCAGUCUUCCAAUUUGAAGAGCUUUAGCUUUGGUGAACUAAAGGCAGCCACCAGGAACUUCCGCCCCGAUAGCGUGCUGGGUGAAGGAGGAUUUGGCUGUGUCUACAAAGGAUGGAUUGAUGAACAUUCACUAACACCUGCCAGGCCUGGAACUGGCAUGGUUAUUGCUGUGAAGAGGCUUAACCAAGAGAGUUUCCAGGGUCACCAGGAAUGGUUGGUAAGUAUUCCCCUCUUUGAUUCGCCUUGCUGCCUAUUUCUAGAGCUGUCAUUAGGCACCGCCAAUUACCUAAAUUUAUUACUUAUUAUUACAUUCCAUAAGGCAAGUGUAGCACUCGAAAAUGCUUUUUAAUUACCUAAAACAGACAUAUUAACAUCUUUAAGGAUAUUGCUCUUGUUAACUCAUAUGCAUGAAUGCUAGCAUUUAAAGACAGCAUCAUUGAUAAAUUUUUUGGUGCUUCUUGGAAUCUAGACCGAAAUCAACUUUCUCGGGCAGCUUUAUCAUCCAAAUCUUGUGAAAUUGAUUGGAUACUGCUUAGAGGAUGACCAUCGCCUUCUUGUGUACGAGUUUAUGCCAAAGGGCAGCUUGGAGAAUCAUUUAUUUAGAAGUAAGUAAUUCAUAUCCUCUCUUGUGCAGCCAUUUCAACAUGGGUGACAUUUUCUAUGACUUCAGAAUAUCUCAAAAAAUAAAAAAAAGUUUUGAAAUAAUAAUACUCCUGGUGUAAACAGGGGCUUCUUAUGUUCAACCACUCUCUUGGAACCUUCGAAUCAAGAUUGCUCUUGAUGCUGCUAAGGGUCUGGCAUUUCUUCAUAGUGAUAAGGCCAAAGUGAUAUAUCGAGACCUUAAGGCUUCCAAUAUCCUGCUUGAUUCAGUAUGUGAAAAUGUUUUAAUUUUGGCUUAUACUGGAGUCACAAUAUUUGCACCUCUCUAACACCCUCCUCCUUUCUUUUCUUUUUUAAAUCGUAACGACAGAACUAUAAUGCCAAACUCUCUGAUUUUGGGUUGGCCAAGGACGGGCCAACAGGUAGUAAAAGCCACGUUUCAACUCGAGUAAUGGGUACUUAUGGGUAUGCAGCACCUGAAUAUAUGGCUACAGGUACCUGGCCUUCCAUUCUUUACUUUGUUCAAGUUCAUAUUUUAUGUUCUUUUUUUCUUUUUGCGUGUUGAAAGUUGAUUUUGGUGCAUGCUCUAACUAUCAUCAUGCUGAUCCAUCAAAUGUUUAUGGGUCGUUGUCCAUUUGAUAUUCUUUUACCUACCCAUAUCUCACUUUCUUUCAUUUUUUAUGAAGGUCAUCUAACUAAGAAGAGCGACAUAUACAGUUUCGGCGUUGUGCUUCUUGAAAUUUUAUCUGGCAGGCGAGCUAUAGACAAAAGCAAACCAUCAAGGGAACAAAAUCUAGUUGACUGGGCAAGGCCUUAUCUUGGCAGCAAACGCAAAGUUUUCCAAGUAAUGGACGCCCGACUAGAAGGCCAGUAUUCACUGAAAGAUGCACUAAAAGCAGCUAAUCUUGCAGUACAAUGCCUAUCGACGGAGCCAAGGUUUAGACCAAAGGUGGAAGAAUUGGUAAAAGCAUUGGAACUAUUGCUCGAAUCCAAUGACAAUGAGGAAUCUAGAGGUUCUCAAAGUGAAAAACCCCGAAAACGCUAUCGAAGUUCAAGCAACGAUCCUAAAAAUCGUAGAAGUACCAAAGAAAUUUCUGCUGGAAAAGCUGCCUCUAAUCCAAAGCCAACCGCUUCUCCUCUGCGUGCUUAGAAGAGUGAAAUAAAUGCUUUGCUACUCACAACUAUCCAAAGGAAAUUAUGAAUUUCAUUGUAUGAGUAUAUAUAGUUUGUUAACAUAAUGAGUCUGCUAUUGUACAGUUCUUCAUUUCCAUGACAUCUAAAUUUGACAUUUCUUUGCGGUGUUCUCUUUUCGCUCGUCGUUCGUGACCCAGUACAUUUUUAAGGUAGGAGGUGCCUUUGUUCAGCCUAUAUUAACUAAAGAACUAUCAGGAUUCUCAAUCUACAGGGGUGCCUUGAAGGAAUGUUGUACAGACCUGGAAAGUUUUUGCAGAAAAUGUAUUUAGCUGCUGAGCUUGGAGAACUUUCAUGCCUAUGCUUCCUCAUGUCCCCAUGUUCGGUUGAGGUUUUACAGCAGAAAGUACAUGUGAAGGCAUUUUCUUAAGACCAAGUUGUCAUUUGUUUGGACAGAUGAAGUCAAUGGUAGAACAGAAUAUGUAAUAAAAUUUGCCGAGCUACCCCACAAGUGGGUCGUGGUUCUCAUGGGAAUCUGGUGCCUUUCAAUCCAAUUGAAGGCUUUGAUUGUCGGCGACCACAGAAAAAGAGUUGUAUGACCAUGUGGUCUUUGAUCUCUUGCAUGAAAACAAGUGAUAUAUUUUCUCUGCGAUCUCGUAAAAUGAUCCCAAGCAUACGUCAGAUUAUGGAGGAUUUCUUCUGAAUCUUGAGUCAGAUUUUUGCCGUUGACGUGGAUUGUUGUAAGCAUCAUUAUACUUGAAAAUAAAACUGCAUCUUUUCCAGUUUCCUAUUUUGAUAUAGAAGAGGGUGUUUCUCUUGAGCAAAGUUAACUUAUAAAUUAACUUAUAAGCUUAAUUCAUAAAUUCAGUUGAACAUCAAGAUGCUUUUAAAGUAUUAAAAAUAUUUUUUAAAACUAUAAUAAUAAUAAUUUUUUUAAAUAAUAAUUUUUAUUUAUAUUAAGAAAAAUGGAUAUGAUAUGUAAGAAGCCCCUCGUCAUCAUUUAGGUUCUAGGUUUCGGUAUCGUUCAAGGUAAGCUUUCAUAAUAGUAUUUUGGUUUACUUGUCCUUGUGCUUGUCAAAGUUGGUGAGAAAAUGUAUUUAAAUGUUGUCAGGUCAUACUCUCCUGCUUCAAGACGGCUGGACUAUUCUGCUUCCCCAGGUAGAAGACUUGCAGACCGUCUGAGAUCUCCUGGGGGUCCUCCACCAGCGCGCAAUGGUGAUCACAUUCGAAGGUCUUAUUCCCCUGGUUAUGGUGUGGAUGAAAAAUGCCAUGGUUACAGCGAGCAAGUGUUUUCUCUAUUCUACCAUUUCAAAAUUUUGUUGUUUUUGCCAUUCAGUGCAGUUGAUAGCAAAUCCGGUCGUGUGUAUUUGUAUUAUACUAUAAUCAAAAUUUGAUUGCUUCAUUGAAAAAAAACGUGAAUGUAGACAAGAUAACGAGAUGAUAUGGAUCAAUUAGUUUUAAAUUUUAUGAUAAAUUUAAAUCGGACCUUUGAAUCGGACUUUAUCAUAAAAUUCAAUACGAAAAUUCUAUAGUUUAGAAUAUAAAUUUUUUAUUUUAAUUAUUUUUUAUAUAUUUUAAAUAUUUUUAUAAUUUUAUAUAUUAAAAUUUUAUUUUUAUUAUAAAUUGUAAUGCUUUGUUUUUUUUUUUAAUUUUUUAAAAAUUUUAAUAAAAUUUUUAAUUUUUUAGUAUAUGUCCUUUAUCACAAAAACUUGAAUAGCAUCAUCUGAUAGAGCUUCAAGGUCAGUUUCUAGAUCAAGAUCUAGAUCAGCUGACUUGUCACCAGGCGCAGUAGACGAGGAAGUGUUAUUACUCGGUUGUCAAUUUCUGUAACAUGUUUUGCUUGAACUUGAACCUGGUAGAGCCAUAUCAGUAGUCCUGUUGUUGAAUCAUGUGGAGGAAGGUAAAAUGUUUUAAAAUUUUCUAAAUCCCAAAUUCCAAAUGGUUCUUCACUUGAUUUUUGUAAAACAUAAAAAUGUUAAAUUUUGAUGACCGCUGAGUCACGCAAUCAAAUUGAGAUCGAAAAUAAGAGAGUCAAACCUAAAAUCUAUCGGAAUUCACUGCACAAAUUGAUCCAUUAGCACACAACUCAAUCCGUGGCUGAAAUGGACCAGACUGACUGGGAGUCUGAACUUAUCAGAAAGGAAUUCAACUCAUUUGACAUAAAAGAGUAGAAAAGCAAGUCCAAUUAUACUGCGAUCCUAUCAGCAUGAACGUUGAAAGAAAAUUAAACGGCGUCUAACAAUAGUGGACAGGUGGAUACCUAUGAUUUUGUAUAAAAGUGACAGGUGGCGGUUAUAUAUAAUUAGAAGAUAAGACAAAAAAAAAGAGAUAUGACUCAUUCACAUCAAAUUUAUUCAUACACACUUAAAUUUUAAGUUCUUUAAAUCUCAAAUCAUCAAAUUUCAUCAAAAUUCAUGAAAUUUAAUCAAAUUGAUCACGCAUUUAGAGAAUACUUAUUUAAAAAAAUAUUAUAAAACUAAAGUUAUAAUAAAUCUUAUCUAUGAACUUAGACCCUAAUGUGGUUAAAAAAGUUUUCCUCGCAUAAGCGUCGUGACUGAUUACGCAGGUUAGGCUAAAUGACUAUGACUGGUCACAGCAGUCAUUAGUUGAACCAAUAAGAAAAUUCUGGUGGCUUCUAUUCACGUUGACUUGGUAUAUCAAAAAUACUUCGUCAAUACCAUUAAUAGCCGUCUUAAUGAACUGCAAACUUCAUCAACCAUAUUAAAUUGUAAGAAUCCAAAUGGCUUAAUUAAUAAGGAUGACAAUACUCUUUUUUAUCAAUUGGGUUCAUUGUUUUUGUUCAAAAUUAUUUUUAGAUUAUUUAUUUUGAUAUAUCACAAUUUUCUUAAUAAUAAAAAUAUUAAAUUUCUUUAAUAGUUAAAAAUGAAAUUGAAUAGAUCAUAUUAAUAUUAUUUUUCUUGUUUCAAAUAAGCUCUAAAUAAAAGAAUAGAUCAUAUUAAUAUUAUUUUCCUUGUUUCAAAUAAGCUCUAAAUAAAAAUAUUAAAUUUUUUAUAACAAUAAAAAACAUUGAAAAUGUCAAUGGAGCUUUCCUACUUCUUUCUUCUCUCUUUCUGCGAGAAUUUAGGUAUUAAAAUUUCUUGUUUACUUUCCAUGUCCACAUGCUCAAUUCUUUAAGCUAUUUAUAUCUUCUUCUUCUUCUUCUCAUUCAGAGGUGUUCUAUUCAAUCCUUCAGAAAGAUUCAAGAAAGCAAGAAACAAACAGAUAUGGCUAUCGGAUUAUUGGAAGUGCAGCUGCUGAAUGCAAAAGGCCUCAGAGGCACUGAUUUCUUAGGUAUAUAUAUAAGCCUAAUCCCCUCUCUACCAUCAUUUUUCUCUCCUUCUCUUCUUUUUCACCAUAUCCUCACUGCUUCUUGUUUCAAACGAUUUUCCUACUGAUUCUGCUCAAAGACGCAGUUAAAAGCUGGAUCAUUUCCAAUAAUAUUAUUGAUGAUCAGAAAAUCACAUAAAAUUAUUUAUUUUUUUGGAAAAUGAAAAAAAAUUUUCUUUUGUUUUUGUGUGAAAUUUAAGAAGUUAAUUUUGUUUGGUUUUUGAAAUGUGAUGAUAGGUAAGAUAGAUCCAUAUGUUAUCGUCAAGUACAAAAACCAAGAGCGCGAGAGCAGUGUCGCCGGAGGUUAGCUUUUCUAUUACUCGAUUCAAAUUAUCAUCAAUUUUCUUAUUAUAAUAAAUAAAUUAAAUAUUUUUAAUUCUAUUAUAUAAUUUAUUUUUAAAUUAAUUUGACUAUUUAAAUAUUAUUUAAAUAAUAAAAAUAUUAAAAUAUAAAUGCGCUGACGUAAUAAAUCGAGAAUCAAAGGGAAGGAUUUGAUUUCAGAGAAUAAUAAGCAUGUAGAGCUGUUUCCAGCACAUCAAUGAUCUUUACUGAUCAACUUGAUUAAUGAACGGGGCAGGUGCAGGUGGGAAUCCAGUGUGGGAUGAGAAAAUUGCAUUCAAAGUGGAAUAUCCAGGACAAGGUGCUGAUUACAAGCUCAUUCUCAAAAUCAUGGACAAGGACACCUUCUCUACUGAUGAUUUUCUUGGCCAAGCCACGUAAGACUAUUUCUAUUUAAUAAUUUUUUAAGUUAAAUUAUUAUUUAUUUUCUUACUUAUAUUAAAAGGGGAAGAAAAUAUGAAUUGGGAAUCAAGUCUUUGAGAUAAAAAAUUAAUUUAUUAAUAUUUUGACAAGAGAGUAAAUUUUUUUUUUAUAUAUAGGAUAUAUGUGAAGGAUUUGUUGGAAUUAGGAGUGGAGAAGGGAAGUGCUGAAAUUCAGCCUAAAAAAUAUAGCAUUGUUCAAGCAGAUCAGUGUUACUGUGGAGAGAUUCAAGUUGGCGUCACUUUCACCCUCAAGGUAUUUAAAAUCCUUACUUAAAUAUCCACAUUUUUUAAAAAAUAUUUAAAUCUUAUGGUUGCUUUGUUGAUUGUAUUAGGUGGAAGAUGGUGGCAACCAUGAAGAGUUUGGUGGGUGGAAGGAAAGCUACUUUUGAGUGUUUUUUUUUCUUUUUUUUUUCUAAAAUAUCAAAGUAGUUUAGUUUGAUGUGAGAGUUUGAAUUUAAAUGAAAACAAUUUCUUUAACUUUUAAUUUAUUAUUAAUUUUGAAGCAAAUUUUUUUCAUGAGGUAUGGAUGCAAUGAAACUUAUAUAAUCUAUAUUGCUAUGCCGAGUGUUAUCCGUGUAAAAGGUUAGCAAUUUGAUCGGUUUAAUUUAAAAUUAAUUCAACAGAAUAAAUUAAAAAUUAAAAUUUUAGUAUUUAUGAAAAUCGAAUCGAAUUGAUUUUAAUAAAAAAAUUAAAUCGAAUUGAAUUGAUUUGGUUUAAUUUGAUUUGAUUGAUUUAAUUUGAUUUGAUUGAUUUAAAUUUUUAAUAAAUUUUUUAUUUUUUAUACGUUACUUUUAGUAUUUUAAAAUUUAAUUAGAAUAUUUUAAUAUUAAUAUGAUCUAAUAUUUCUAUAUUAUUGAAAAUAAUAUACUAUUAUCACUAAUCGAUUCGAUUUGGUUUUUUCGAUUUUUUUUUAUUAAAAUCGAAUCGAAUUGAAAUAACUGAAAUUUUUAAAAUUAAAAAUCAAAUCAAAUCAAAAUGAAUAAAAAAUUAAACUGAAUUUUUAAAUUAAUUCAAUUCGAACAAUUUUUUCGAUUUGAACUGAAUACUGCUCGACUUAGUGUUGCAUAAAUCGACUUGUUGCAUAAUUUAUUUUUUUAAAAAAUAAAAAUUAUAUAAAUUAGAAAAGAAAUAUUUCAUUCAAAAUAAAAAUUUAAUAAAAUGGAAAUUAAAUUAAAUUCUUUGAAAAAUUUUUAUUUUAAAUAAAGGGUUAAUAUAUUUUUAACUAUAUCAAAACUAAAAUUUAUUUCAUAAGUUAUUGAAUCCAUUUUUAAUCCCCGACAGAGUGUGAGAUUUUUUCUUUCCAAAUUUUUGAAAUUGAAUUCUAAUAUAUUUUAAUGAAAUUUUCAAAUCAUUUUCUUUAACAGUAUUUAAAAUAUAUUUUUUAAAAAAAAUUCAAUAUUCUUUUCUUAUCGAAAAUCAUAAUGACAAAUGGAAAUAUAAUAAAGGAAAAUAAUAAAUUUAACUUAUUUAUUUUCUAACACAAAAAUCCCCUACGUAUGAAUAUAAUUAAUUAACUCUAUAUUUGUUGAUAAAAGAAUGCAUCAAGUAUAAACAAUUUAAGAAAAAUAAAAUAUUUUGUUUAAAAUUAACUAAUUGACAAAUAGAACGCAACAGCCGUCUUAGCUCAGCCGGUAGAGCGCGUGGCUUUUAACCACGUGGUCGUGGGUUCGAUUCCCACAGACGGCGUCGUCUUAUGAUCUUUUUUGCUGCGUCUGUUUUACUUUGACAGGGAACUUUCUUGAUAAAGAAAAAAUGAUUCUAUUUCCAUUUUUCACAAAAAAACAAAUAAAAUAAAUUUAUUGUCAUUUGAUCCGACAGCCGUCUUAGCUCAGCUGGUAGAGCGCGUGGCUUUUAACCACGUGGUCGUGGGUUCGAUUCCCACAGACGGCGUUGUGUUUUGACCUUUUUGGCUGCGUCUGUUUUACUUUGACAGGGAACUUUCUUGAUGAAGAAAAAAUGAUUCUAUUUCCAUCUUUCACAAAAAAACAAAUAGAAUAAAUUUAUUGUCAUUUGACCCAACAGCCGUCUUAGCUCAGCUGGUAGAGCGCGUGGCUUUUAACCACGUGGUCGUGGGUUCGAUUCCCACAGACGGCGUUGAAAAAUUGAUUCUGCUUCCAUUUUUCACAAAAAAAUAAAUAAAUUUAUUAAUAAAUUUAUUUUUAUCUGACGCAGCAGCCGGCUUAGCUCAGCCGGUAGAGCGCGUGGCUUUUAACCACGUGGUCGUGGGUUCGAUUCCCACAGACGGCGUUGUGUUUUGACGUUGAUAAUUUACCAAAAGAAAAAAAUGAUUCUAUUUCCAUUUUUCACAGAAAAAACAAAUGGAAUUUAUCCAUUAGAUUAAUUAUUUUUGGGUCGAAAGACAAUAUAUCCAUUAGAAUUACUAGAUUUUUGUUCAUAAAAGUCAUUCUUGAAUCUUGAUGAUGAGGUGACCACGAAAAAUUUUUGCCCUUUUGUUCAAGAAAUGUAUAGGAAAGUUUCAAACUAUUCAUGGGCUUCACGUCUUCACCUUCGUCAAUUUCUUCUAAAUUUAAUGUUUUUUACAUUUUGAAAUAAGUUCAUGAGAUAGCCAUGUUCCUUCACUUAUAUCAGCCACCACCACCACCACCACCGCCACUACCACCGUCCUUUACAGCUAAAAAUUCUUUCCACCGCACAUUGUUAAUUUCUCUCCCUUUUGUUCACUCCAUUCUUUCCAGCUCUUCUAACUGAACCCUUAAUGGUUCCCACGAUCCAAGUAAGCCUUCCUUUUCUCUGUUUUAUUAAGGACCUUUUGCUUGCUAGUUCCUAACAUGUUGCCCUGAGGUUGACAAGUUUGAUUCUUUUUCGAUCCUUGGCUUCUCAGAUAAUGAAAUUUGAAGACUUCCUGAUGCAACAAAGUGAUGAUAAGCAGAAAAGGCUCGAUCUCGAGAAUGAGGUGAAUAUAAACUUCAUUUUUGAGGUGAAUAUAAACUUCAUUUUUCCAUCUGGGUUGAUGAAAAUUCGGCAUUGAAAUAACUCCAAAUGACCCUUUAUAACUGGUGCAGGUUGAGAGCUUGAGAGUAAAAUUAGAAGAAGAACAGACGAUGAACAAGGUCUUACACUCUGCACUGCAUGGUCCUGUCUCAUCACAGCCAUGCCUUGCCUUUUUGCUUCCACCACAGGUAAGAGCAAUAAUCUAAGACGACAGUAGUUUUUGUAAGGGAAUGAUGUUAUAAAGAGGAAUUAUAAAUCUGCAGGUUCAAGGGAUUCUUACAGAACUAGCAAUGGUAGAGGAGGAGAUCAUAUGGCUAGAGAGAAAAGUUGAUGAGCUGAAACUAAACUUGUACCAAGAAAGGAAACAAACUGAGAAAUGGAAACUUCAAAGGAAGCAGCAGAGGAAACUCAGAAACCAGAAUCACUUACCACCAUGCAGACCAGGUAAUGCAUCGCUGCUUGAAGAUAACUGCAGUCACCUAUCAAGAUCACAGCAUUUCAAAGAGUUCAGGAAAUUCAGAAGAGCUUCAGUGGGUUCUGCAGAGGAAAUGUCUUGUGUGAUUUCAACAGGUUCCACUAGUAAGCUUCCAUUUUCUCCAUCAAAAGAUUGUGUAUGAACAUCCCUUCAGCAUUGGCUGAUGCUUGUUUCCUACAGCCAUGAAAAAUGGAAAUUAUUUUAUUCGUGAUAUGUAAUAUAUUUUUUGGCAAUUCAUGGAGUUCUUUCGUUGGCAUUUUUGCUUAUCAAAAUUUGGAAGACAGUUAAGCAUGGCUAAUUGUAAAAUAAUCCAGGCUUUAACUAGAAUCAAAUAUCUAUUAUAAGAUAAUUAAUUCUCUGAUUAAAAUUACGAAGAACACUAAGAAUUUUUCACUGACCUAAAAUUUACUAUUAUCAAAAUUACAACCGUGGGAAACGAGAAGCUACUCAAAACUAAUUUCAAACCUCAGUCGGAGCUAAUUUUAGGAAAAAAAAAGGCCUAACUAUAGUAAUAAUUUUCUUAGUCACGGCUGCACCAGGAGCUAAUUUAAAAUUUUAUUUGGUCUUUGUUGUGUAAUGCAGGUGAUGAAAAAUCAAGAAGAGGAAGAAUGCAGAAGGAACAUCAUAUGUAUAAAGAAAUUUGUGAUGAGAAACCAAAUGAACUCUCAGAAGAAUUAAUCAAAUGCCUAAUAGGCAUAUUUCUUGAUCUAAAUCAGCCACCACAGGAUAGAGCAGAAUCAGCCAUUAUCCCGAAGCUUGGCCUUUCAUGCAUGAGUUCAAAAAUCUCAAAACCCUCGUUCAACAGUAAAUCAUCCAUGUUUCCUCUCAACCACAAUACAUCAAAUCUUGAUCCCUACUGCAUUAUUCCAGAUUUAGACAGCAAUAUCAGAGACAUUGGACCUUACAAGAACUUCAUCCACAUUGUUAGAAACUCGUUAGAUGUCUGUCGUUUUUCAGAAGGCUUGUCAUCCUCUGGAAAAAUGAGGUUGAAAAGGUUUCCUGAGAACAUAAAAUAAUUUUUUUUUGUCCAUGCAUUUAUGUCAUGAUUCUGCUGCUUUUUUUUUCCAGGGUUUUAAUUCAGAAAUUAGGCAAUGUUGACUUGACAUUCUUGACUUACAAGCAGAAGCUAGCAUUUUGGAUUAAUAUCUACAACGCCAGCAUAAUGCAUGUAUAGUAAGAUAUCUUUAGCUAAUUAAUCAUGUCAGUCAAAUAAAUGUCUCAUACAUCAAUAUCGAGUCCACUUGUUUUUAUGAAAUUUCCAGGCAUUUCUAGAGCAUGGGCUGCCUUCCUCUCAGGAGAAACUGUUGGCAAUCAUGAACAAGGUAUGUCAAUAUCCUGAUUCUGAUUUAUCAUAAAAGUUAAACCAUUUCAAUUCAGUUUUGGCUGGGCUGUUAUAAAUUUACUGAGACUGUUUUAACUCAGGCUGCCUUGAAUGUUGGUGGGAUAGUGCUGAAUGCCUUGGCCAUCGAGCAUUUUAUUCUCCGACAUCCAUGUGAAACAAAACAUGUAAGGCAAACAGACAAAUUCAUACUUAAUGUUCUCAAUUGAUUAGAUGUCUCAAAUUUUUGGUUGUAACUUUACUUUAAGGUCCCUCUUUCAAUGUAAAAGCUUAACAAGGUGAUGUUUUCACUUCCAAGGGCCCUCCAGAUGAGAAGGAAAUGCUACUACGACGUGCUUAUGGUCUUGGGUAUCCAGAAUCCAACAUCACCUUCGCUCUUUGCCGGGGCACCUGGUCCUCCCCAGCAGUGAGUAUAUAUACAUUAUGCCAUUCGCAUAUAUUAUUAGUGUGAAUGUUAUGUUUAGAAGGAAGAGUUUGUAUGCAGCUAAGGGUUUAUACCCCAGAAGAAGUGGUAAAUGAAUUGGAGAAAGCAAAAGUGGAGUAUCUGGAAGCUUCAGUUGGGGUUACAAGCAAGAGGAAGAUUAUGAUUCCCAAGCUUCUUCAAUGGUACAUGCAAGAUUUUGCAGACAACAUGGAAUCACUGUUGGAAUGGAUAUAUAGCCAGCUGCCACGCUCUGGGUCGCUCAAACGUUUGAUGAUGGAGUGCAUUAAUGGAGAGGUUAAAUCUCCUUCAACAAAAAUGGUGGAGAUUCAAGCUUAUGAAUCUGAGUUCCGCUAUCUGUUGCCAUUGUGAAAAAGCAAAAUAAAAACUUCUCCGUAACUUAUGGAAGAUCAUGUACAAAAAUUCUGUUAUAUGUAGAAUGAUACACUCGAUAAUAAUAAGGUAAGUUAAAAACGAGUUUUGCGUUAAUUGUCACUAUCAUGAAAGCAGCAUUAUUCACCUGCCAUUGAUGAUGUCAUCUUCCUGUUUUGGCUUAAGCACGUGAUAGCUCUCAGUCUAACAGAGGCAGUGCGCAGAGUUCCUGACUUGAAAUGAUAUUUCUACCCCUAUGUAAAACAUUCCUCAGUUAUUUUAUUCGAAAUUUCAAAUUGAAAACAUUAAAAAAGCUUAAGCAUAUUUAAAUUAAAUAGACAAGUUUUUUAAACGAAAAGUUUACUUUAUAAAUUAAAUUAAAUAAUAAAGAAAUUUAUGAUAAAUAUUAGAAAGAAAAAUUUGUCUAAGAAAUUAAAAAUAAAAUCAGAAGAACUAUAAAACAAAAAAAGAAAAAGAGGGGCACACUUGCACUUGCGAGUCUCCGUCUCUCUGCAUCUCUGCAAUUCCCACUUUCACCAAUCGCCUCAAUAGCGCGUGCAGUCCACCAAACUCUCUGCCACUUUAACCCGCGCAGACACACUCUACUCUAUUGUCAUCUUCUUCAGGUACCAAACUCCUCCGAAAGUGCUAAAGCCCAAAUUAUUCUCCAUCAAAUCCCCCCAAAAUCCUUCCCUUCUCCGCCGAUUCUGUCCAUGAAGCUAUCAGUUGCUUAAUUUCAACCUCCAAUUUUUUCCACCGGCGACGUUCUUUGGUUUGUUCGCAUUUUAUCUGGUCAUUGUUUCAUAGUCUAUUUUGACCUAUUUUUGAUCCAUGCAUGGUUCUUUGGCUUUCGAUUGUUGCAUUUAUAAUGCAUUGUCUCAUGUUUUUCUUUGUUUGCUGGCCUUUAUUUUCCCUGAUCUGCAUGUGCCAUUUUUGGUUUAAGCUUAGCUAAUCAUGAUUAUGUUUUCUGAUUAUCACGUGCACUAGAAGUAGCGGUCAAUUUUUUUUUCCAUAUCUUUGAUUUAGAUUCUGUUUGGUUCUCAGGAAAGUUAGCGCGGACAUUAACCCGAAAUUUUACCUUUUUUACUGUUUUUUUUUCUCGGGAAUGGGCACAUAUUUUGCCAUUUCUUCAGUGUAUGAUAUGUGAGCUUAGCAUAUGAAAUCAUAGGAGAAUCUUCUAAACCAGCUUCUCUUUGUUCUCUAUUUUUUCCUGGCGAAGCAUGCCGACCCUGAAGUUUUAGUAAUUUGCGGGGGAUUUUUUUUUUUUUCAAUUAUUAGGUUAUCAUGCCAAAUAUACUUGGUUUGUUCAAGCCAACAAACUGUUUGUAUAGUGAUUCAAUUGUUUACAUUUCCAUUUUCUGGAUUGGUAUGAAAUUUUUGCUUCAGAAUGAAUGUUUCAUUUUUUUGGGUUCUUCCUAACCAGUGAAUAUGCCUGGGCCAUGUUCGUUUUUGAAUUGUGUACUAUUUUCUUGUAUUUGUUCACUGCUUUACAUAUUUGACCUGGUCAACCGACUCCAACCUGAUUUGUUUCAUCCCCUUUUUGACGUUUUGUUGCUUAAUGAAUUGACUGGAUUGCUGUGAAAUGCAGAUCAACUAUGUGACUGCAUUUGUCUCGUGAGCCUGAAUUUGAGUUCUUGAGUGAUGAAGAAUGUGAAUUGGGCCAAAAUAAUACCUUCUGAAUGUGUCCUUUCUUUCUGGCUUUCUGAUAAAUAGAAACCUUUAAGUCCAUGUCUUCUCUGCAUUUUCCCAAAAACAGCUAGAGACCUUUAAAUCUCAAUUUAUCCACAAGAACUAAACCUGCAGCAUUUUAAUUUUGCUAAAAUUUUCCACUUCCCAUAUUAUUUUGUUUUUCUACCAUAUCUCAUUGUUAGGUUUCUUUCUUAGAGAGUGCAGUUUUGUGAUUUGAUUUUGCAGUUUGCUAUAUAAGUCAGGCUUGAAGGCCUUCCUCUUGUUCCCUUUGACUCAAUUUUUCCACAGCAUUCUGUACUUUUGUGCUGUUUAUUUAAGUCAAUAUCAUUCUUAAGGUUUUUAGGUAAUGCAUUCUGUUCUUUGGAAUUUGGUUGCACAGAGCUUGCUCGUCAAUAAUAGUAAUCUGUCAAUACUAUUUAUAGAAUAUCUCACUUAAUUUUAAUAUUUGUUUCAGUUUUCAGUACUCCAUAGCCAAAUUUAAAUGGGAAGUUCAAUGGAUCAAAGUUCUGAUGGGGACACAGAUAUGAGUGAAUCUGAAAUGGAUGAGUAUGAAGCUCAAUCUUAUGAAGAACUGAAGAAUGGAAAUCACUCUGUGAAAAUUUCAGAUGAGACUUUCACUUGUCCUUACUGCCCCAAGAAAAGAAAGAGAGAUUACUUGUACAAGGAUCUUCUCCAGCAUGCUUCUGGGGUGGGCAAGAGUUCAUCAAAAAAAAGAUCUGCCAAGGAAAAGGCAAAUCACUUGGCAUUAGUUAAGUACUUGGAGAAGGAUCUAGCAGAUGUAGGCAGCCCAUCAAAGCAAAAGGGUGACACUGAUCCUCUCAGUGGUUGCAACCAAAAUGAGAAACUGGUGUGGCCUUGGACAGGCAUUGUGGUUAAUAUUCCAACUGCAAUGGCACAGGAUGGACGAUGUGUAGGAGCUAGUGGAUCCAAGUUUAGGGACGAGUUGAUAAGUAGGGGCUUUAAUCCCAUAAGAGUUCAUCCAUUAUGGAAUUACCGAGGUCAUUCAGGAACUGCUGUUGUUGAAUUCCACAAAGAUUGGCCUGGUUUACAUAAUGCCCUUUCAUUUGAGAAGGCCUAUGAAGCUGAUCAUCAUGGGAAAAAAGCUUGGUUUGUCAGUAGUGGAGAAAAAUUUGGUGUCUAUUGUUGGGUUGCACGUGCUGAUGAUUAUAAAGCAGAUAAUAUAAUUGGAGAACACCUAAGAAAGACUGGAGACCUUAAAACAAUUUCUGAAAUCAUGGAGGAAGAAGCAAGAAAGCAGGACAAACUAAUAUCCAAUCUCAAUAACAUUAUUGAGACUAAGAAUAAACACUUAAAAGAGAUGGAACAGAAGUGUAGUGAGACUUCAAUCUCCCUCAACAAGUUGAUGGAAGAAAAAGAUAGGCUUCUUCAUGCCUAUAAUGAAGGUAAUUUCUGUAAUACCUUAGUAUGUCUUUUAUUUACUUACUACUAUUAAGAUUGUGAAAAGUCAGUGGACUCUCUUUCUUGGUUAGUUUAGGCUUUCUGCAGUUCAUUUACAUUGCUCCAUAAUCCAUAUUCUAGGGAAAAGGUGCCUUGGAUUUCUGGUGUCCGAUAUAUUAUGGGGGAACUGAUUUAUGCCUCGUCUCUUUGCAUUUCAGAGAUUAAAAAAAUUCAAAUGAGUGCAAGGGAGCACUUUCAGAAGAUAUUUAAUGAACACGAAAAGCUAAAGUUGCAACUAGAAUCUCAGAAACAGGAGCUUGAAAUGCGUGGGUCAGAAUUGGAAAUGCGCGAAGCCAAGAAUGAAAUUGAUAGAAGGCAGCUUUCUGAAGAGAUUGAAAAGGUACAUUGUGUUUGGUAAAAUGAGCGAGUUAUAAGCUAUCACAGAUUCACAGUCUACUAGCAUUGGGGGUUUCAUUGAAUCAAUAACAGAUCACUAUCUCUCUAAUUUUUUACUGGUAACUUACUACUUGCGUGAAGUUAAACUGUCUCUGGUUCCAAUCAUUUCAUUUGCUUCCAGAAAGAAACUGUCUUUACUGAGCAGGAAUAUAUAAUGGUUUUAUUUUCAUAUAUCCUAGGCUUGUUUUCUGAAUGAUUUUAUGCUCAUGGGAUUUCCUGUUGGCUAAUGGUGUGUUUACUUGAGGAAAACUAGCAUGGAUUUGUGGAAAAUUUUUCUAAGAAAAAUGAACUUUUCUUUUGUACCCUUUUUCUGUAAAGGUUUCAUUUGUGCCAAGUUUUUAAUUUCUUUUUGGCUAGGUUGUCUUUUUCUUUUUUCCCCUUUCAUUAAUUCUUAAUUUUAUCUUGUUAUUUCUUUUAUACUAUUUUUGCCUUAUAAUUUUUUCCUUUUUCAAUAAAUAGUCUUAUUUUUUAAUUUUUGUUGUUUAUUUUCAAUAUUCUAUUUGAUAUGUGAUUGAUUAUUUUUACAUAAAAAAUAUUUACCAGUGAAAAGAAAGAUAAUGAGAAAAUUUAAAAACAUUUCAUGAAGUAAAUGACACUGUGCAUUAUGUACAUAUAUAAUUUUAUGUUUGGUGCAGAACAUUUUUCUGUUCCCUUCACAAAACAGUUUUACUAAAAACAUAUUUUUAGUUGUUUUCUGUGCUUCCACAGAAUGGAAAUUGAGUCUUUCUUUGAAAAUUGAAAAUGAAAACGGAAAAUUGUUUUCUAUAAGUAGUUGUAUUAUGUGCUUCCACAGAAUGAAAAUUGAGACUUUCUUUGAAAAUUGAAAAUGAAAAACGGAAAAUUGUUUUCCAUAAGUAAACAGGCCCAAAGCUUCUUCUUACGGUGCUGUUAGUGCAUGUGAUCUAUUCGUCGAUUUUAUCUCCUGUUUCAGCAUCCAGCCAUCCACAUAAUGCAUAAGAUAAAAUAAAUCCAUUAUUUAAUGAGUGUCUUUUAUGAGAAGCCAUUGCACGGGGAGCAUGCAGCAGUUGCCAUAGGAACAGUGGUGAAGUUGGUGUUGAUGCUGCCCUCAGCUGUGUUACUGGAGACUGUCACAUACAACUGGUUUUUGCUAUUAUAAAACAUCUGUGAAUGUUCUGGUCUUUAGAUUCAUCCUUCUUGGUGAUCUUUUGCGUCUCUGUGGGGGAAAUUUCAGAAAAUUAGCUGUUUCUUUCUUCUUAUUAUGAUAUGGCUUAAAGGUAAAAAAGGGAAAGAAAAGGUUCAUUCAGAACUGUGAUAUAAUUUGUGACUGAAGGGCACAUUUAAAUGUUUAUCACAUUAUCUACUCAAAUAUUCUGGUCAUUUGAUUAGUUUAUCUAUUCUGAUUUCUUGUUAGAAUGCAAUCAGAAAUAGCUCACUUCAGUUGGCUUCUUUGGAGCAAGAGAAGGCUGAUGAGAAUGUUUUGAAAUUGGCUGAAGAUCAGAAGGUAUUUUUGUUGUUUGAAGUGCUCGAAUAAUUACUGGAGUCACUGUUAAACAAAUACAAAUUGAUGUUUAAUUUUUUCAGAGGCAAAAAGAGGAACUGCACAACAGAAUCAUUCAACUGGAAAAGAAGCUGGACGCCAAACAAGCUCUGGAACUGGAAAUUGAGAGACUUAGAGGCUCAUAUAACGUGAUGAAGCAUAUGGGAGAUGAUGGCGAUGCAGAAGUUCUGAAAAGGAUGGAAUUAAUAAUUGAGAAUCUGAGAGAAAAGGAAAUAGAAUUUGAGGAAUUAGAAACCCUGAACCAGGCUCUUAUUGUAAAAGAGCGCAAGAGCAAUGAUGAACUGCAGGAAGCUCGGAAGGAAUUAAUUAAUGUAAUUCUAUUUUUCCAGUUUUUAAAAGUUUCCUCCAGUUAGGUUUCAAGUUAUGAUAGAGCGGGCAUCUGCCUUUUUCACAACCUGGCAACAUUUUGUUAUUUGGUUCAUUCAUGAUACAACGUUUUUUCUAUUCCAUAGUCGAGCUGCUUGCCCAAAUGGUUAUUUAAGGAUUUGUUGAUGACAGAUGUGUCGUAAAAACCUUAGCUCACUGGCCAUAGUAUUAAAAUUUCUGAUAUUUACAAAGACAGUUUUAAUUUUUAUUUAAAUAUUUGUCAGAUAAUUCAUCAAGUUAUGCUUGAAGCACUAGAACCUGUUUUCUACACCUUGCUUGUGGCAGAGUACUAAUUCACUUACCUUUCAGGGCCUGAAAGAGGUAUCAACUCGUGCUCAUAUUGGUGUUAAGAGAAUGGGAGAACUAGACAGUAAACCAUUCCUUGAAGUAAUGAAGAAAAAGUAUACAGAAGAUGAAGCAGAAGUCAGGGCUUCAGAACUUUGCUCAUUGUGGGUGGAAUAUCUCAAGGAUCCUGACUGGCAUCCUUUUAAAGUUGUCAUGGUUGAUGGAGAACACAGGGUAUGUUUUGGACAAGUAUCUCUUAACAUUUGGCUGCCACAUAUUUGUCUUUAGAAAAUCACUAUAUCACAGAAUGAAUAAUGUGUAUCAUGUGCAUUGUUAUUGGAUUUGUUUGAUAUCUCUUUAGUGCUGGAAUGAACAUGAACAAGCAUAAGGACUUUCUGUUAAUUUAUGUUACUGGUAUAUUCGUUUGCAUGAAUAUCCAUCAAAAUAGUUGUCUAUGUAGUGUUUCAGUAAUCAAUUAUUUUUUUGCCAGAAAAUGUUUUUAUUUUUAUUAACCUAUUCUCAAGUGAGAGGAUUGGCAAAUUGAAGAAACUGCGCACUUAUACAUUCUGUGCCAUGAGCCUGCAAUUUACCACAAUUGCUCCACAGCCUGGAACAUUUAAUUGUAGUUUGUAUUCUUCACUGUAAUCUUCCCAGUGUAACAUCAUUUUCAAUUCUUGACUUUCUUGUUCUCAUGUCUACAUUUUUUUCAAUGUGAUUUUCUUUUGAGAGUUGACGUGAAUUGAAUGCCUUAUGCACUUAUGAGCUCUGGUUGCAUAUUUAUAUAAUUGUAUGCUUAUUUAUUACCUUGCUGAUAAUGUGCCUUUGCUAUACUUCUGAUAGAAUUUAAGCGGCCAAGUGCAUGUCAUUUGCUGUAAAUGAUUUUGGAAAAUUUAGGAAGAUUGUCUUUUCUUGCAUAUUUAGUAACUGGACAAUUUAAUUUAUACAAGUUAAUGUGUUAUUAUGGGAUUUGUUUAUACCUCAAUUUUCCCUUCUUUGCAACUGAACCCUGGUUCUUGCUUCCUUUCACAAUGAUAUGGCUAUAUUUCUAUUUGUUGGUUCAGGAAGUAAUUAACAAUGAGGACGAAAAAUUGAAAGAUUUGCGAGAUGAGAUGGGCGAUGAAGUUUACAAGGCCGUUACUGAUGCUUUAAUGGAGAUAAAUGAAUACAACCCCAGUGGAAGGUAUAUAAUCUCAGAGCUGUGGAAUUAUAAAGAAGGGCAGAAGGCUACGUUGAAAGAGGGAGUCUCAUUUUUAAUGAAGCAAUGGCAAAUAGCUAAACGCAAGAGGCUUCUUUGAAGGUUGGUACAAUUCCCAGUGGUUGAAACAGAAUUGUCAGUUCAUUUCUCCUAUUUGCAUUGCAUAGUUAUUGUCCACUUUGAUUAUAUUGUCUCAAUAAGGAAAGAAAAAAGAGUGGUUAUUCAGGGGAGAAAAAAUGACAGGAAAAAAAAAAGAAGAAAAGCGGUGCUCAGAACUCGUGCUGCUGGAAGGCAUGUUGAUGAAAAUCAGCUACCUUUUUCUUGAAGCAAAUAACAAUAAUGAUGUGGGAAAUAAUUCAACAGUCACAUAAACUGGUUAUGUUCGUUCUUUUCAUUUGUCGAUCAAAUUGUUAGCAUUGGUCUCACAUAGAAGCAUUGAUGCUGCUUACAGGAAACAAUCAUAUCCUAUGCUGAGAUGAUGUGCCCCAAAGUUGGGAGGCAGCUGAACGGGGGAUGAGGCGUUAUAAAAUGAGCAGCCUUCUUAUUUCAUAUUCUCGUUUGCUUCAGGCAUUAAUUCCGUGCAGGCUAGGCUGAUUUAUUGUUUGUCUUUCAGAACUGUAUUUUACGUUGUGUUUGACUUUGCCAUAAGCCAAAUCAGCUUCACGUCAGUCGCGAAAUGCUCUGGCUUGUGAGAACUGGAGAAAUAACUUGGCUUAUUUGCUGUGAUAUAUUGAAUAUGAUGGUUGCAGGAGAUGCUGCUCUUGUGGAGCAGCUUGCCUCAACUUUCCAUGUAACUUGUAGUUUAUCGGUGUUACAACAACUUGUAGGCAUAUGUUUGGAGAGAAAUCUGCCUGACUCUCCAAUUUUCAAUGCAAAUGUGCAUCGUCUGGUAUAAGUUUGUGUAUCAAGGGAGAAGGCUUGACUUUAAAAUCUAUGAUUUAUUGUUGUCUUUACGCGUGUCUUGGGGAGUCAGCCGUUAAUCGGAUGGUUUCCAGUUACGUAAGAGGUGGGUUAUAAGCUUGGUUCCCUGACAGCUCUUUUGUGAACGACUAUGGAUCGCUUUUGACGAGAUAAUAAUCUGUCAAAACAACGAGCCUUUGGGACAUGUGGAUUCAAAGCUAAAUGUGGAUUGCAGCUUAUAGAGCCAAUGCUUUCUUCCCCUUGAGCAGGGGAAAUUAGAGAAUGUUUCAGCAAUGCAUCAUUGAAGAAACAGUUUCCUUCAGGGUGCUACCCUAAAUUGCUACCAUAUUAUGAGUUAUUUACACAUACUCGCAUGAAAGAAAAAAAAAAUAUUAAUAAUUCUAACCCGUGAGCGUGUCAAUGAUAUUCACAUGGUAAUCUAGUUGUUGUUGUUAUUAUUAUUAUUAUUGCAAGAUGAUAUAUAAUUCCAGUUUUUAUGAAUAAAUCUGGAUUACUUAGCAUUAUUAAUAGUUCAUGUUCACAGAGAGAGAGAGAGGUGUUCCAGCUUCAUAAUAGAUCCAUGUUAGACCGUUGUUGUUUAUGUAAAUGAAUUCAUUACUUAAUACCAUUGUUGCUUAAGCUAAUAAUACUUUGUUUUAACAUAUAAAUCUAUGAAUAUAUAUAAAUCCAAUUAGCAUCUACUAGUUAUUUAUGCUUUGGAUCACUGCUAUCGACUUUAUUCCAUUUUUCACUAGUUGCAGAUCCAACUGCUGGAGCUGGAAAGCUUCCAUCCAUGAAACCAAAUUUACCCUUGGUUCUCUGGGCAAGAAUCAUGGAGCUACUCCAUGAUAGGUAAUUUCUUCCUGUCAAAGGAGCACUCAACAACAUUGUGCCUAGGUGAUCUGAAUUUUGCAGAUGAACAAGGUUAUUUUCAGAAGCCUGGGUUGGAUUUUGAUUAGUGGCAAUGGCAGUGAUACUAUUUGUUUCGGCCAUUGGUUGCUAAAAGAGAAGAGGAUGAUAAUGAGCAAGAAGGCGAAUAGCAUGGAGCCAAUGUAAUUUCAGUGAAUUCUAUAGAAUUCCAUGCACUUUGUGUUAGUCGUCCUCAAAAUUGUAUUCAAAUUGAACAAUGGGCUUUACUAAUGGGCUCUCGAAAGCCCUAGGAGUUCGGACUGUCCUAUAAAAUUGAAAAAACCUAGAAUUUCAAGCAUUCUUGCUGGAAUAGCUCUGCAUCUGUGUCUUGAGUUUCCAGCCGUCACCAAAACCUCCCUCGGCUAAAAUUUUUCGUUAUUUUUUCUCCCAAAUUUGCAUCUUUUGAUUCUUUAAUUAGGUGUAUAAACUAAUGGGUGAUGAUUUGAAAGAGAGAGGCUUGAGUGGGGAUCUCAAAAAUCUAACCAGAGGGUAAAGGGAGUGAAAGGCAAAGAAGAUGCCGCCAUUCUUCUUAAGGAAUUGAGCUUGGAUGUCUCCAAUUUGCCAUUUUUUCCUUCUUUUUUGCCUCUUUUGAGUUGGGUUUUCCCACAGUGAGGGAUCUUUCAAUCCUUUACACUUGAGAUAUGAACCCAAAUCUCAAAUUUUAUGCAUAUUAUUAUUAUCUCUUCUCCUUUUUGCUUCGGAGUUUGUAACAAUUUGCAUUUGUUGUUUUUUUUGUUAUGAGGAAGCACUUUGUUUUUGUUUUCUCAUUGAACAACAGUGCAGACAGAGAAAGCCUGAUUGCUACUUCGUUUUCUCAAAGCAGAGUGCUGUUUUGGGGAAAAUAGUUAUGUAAUUAGGCAGCGGCCAGACAACCGUAGGGAUGGAAUCCACAGAUGGCGGAUUUUUGAUACCGCUUUGUCUACUAAAUCCCAUCUCACAUUUAAAUUUUUAAUGGAUGACAUUGAUUGCACUCAUGAGAUUGUUGUUGGGUGUUGCUAGUUAUUUAAUCUGAUGUACUGAAUUAGCGGCUGAACGGAAACCCCCAAGUUGUUUGAUGAUAUGCCUAAAAGAUUUCAACUAUUACCUUAUGCACACCAGCUUACAUGCUGUCAAUCUCAAGUAAAUGAUUUUAAUUCUCUACCACCAUUUAAAUAAGCAGGUAGAACUGAUGGAAUACCUUUACCAUGAGCCUUGGCCCAUGACAUGUUGUGAGUCAAUUUUAAUGAUGUUUCUGGACUCAUGGUGCUGCUCGUUCCGCUUAUGUUUUCUAGUAAAGUGAAUUAAAGUUUCAUAAAUUUUUUCUUGACUGAUGCAUGAUAAUUUUGGAGAGAGGAGAAUACAUUCUACAAUUUGUUAGUGCCACUUCACCUGGUUGAAUAUUUGUGAAUGACAAAACAUUAUAUUAAAUGCUAAGAACAUAUUUCUGGCAUUUGGCGUCGGUAUGCAAUACUAUUGGCAUGUUUGUUGGUUCCAUUUCUUCAUAUUUAAAGUUGUUGUGAAGCUGAAAUCUUCCAUUUUGCAUUUGCUAUCUGCAAUAUUUACCAUCCUUGUGUUUCGUUUCAAGGAUUGUGAAACAAAGACUUGAAACAUUAGUAAUCUCUUUCGGCAAAUGGUUUGUGAAACAAAGACUGUAUUCGACUAUUAAUUAGUCAUCUCUUUGGCCCUAGAUGAUGCAUUACAUGGGGAGCUUGUAAGUAAUGAGCAGAAGCCUUUAGCUUCCCUUUUGUGGAUGUAUUCAUAGGCUGAGCUCCAUUGUUAUUAUUUGUAUGCUUAUGAAUGCAAACCUAGCAAUUCAACGCAGCAGCAUGAUCAAUAGAAAAAACAGAGCACAAUUUCGGAAUGGGGAACUGUGAAUCGAUUUAUGUCAAAAUGGUUCCUUUGAUUGUUUUCGUUGAUGCAACUGGCCCAUCCUUGAUAAAGCUACGACAAUCUCUGGCUGUCUUGUAUGUUCCAACUGAUAAUUAUAAAAUAUUUUCUUUAUCUUGUAUUUUAUUUAUACAACUUCAUUUAAUAAUAUAAUUAAUAUCAUUAUCUUCGAUAAGACUUGUUUUAUUUUUUAAUAAAAUUCAAUAGUUUAAAUGAUAUUUCAAUUAUAAAAUAGAUUUAUGUGCUUAUCCGAGUGCAGCUAGUUCAUGUUUUUUAAGUAGAGAUAAGGUAAGGUUUAUAUUAAAGUAAAAUGUGUUAAAAUAAAGUUUAAUGAAAAGUUAUCAAGUAUUUAAAAAAUUUAAAUUAGUGAGAUAAAAAAAAUGAAAAUUUGUCCAAAAAUAAAAACUCAAAUCUUAUUUGAAGAUCCAUGAAUUCUUUAAAAUAUACACUCAAAGUUUUAACUUAUUAAAACUUUCAAUUGAACAUAAUGACAUCUCAUUCAACUUUCGCAAGUUUACUUCUAUAAUUUAUUUGUGACUUGAUACUUUCGUCUUUUUCUCUUACUUAAAUUUAAUUUUUUUUUUCUUUCUCUAUAGAAAUUGAUUCUAUUGAUAAAAAAAAAAAUGUUAUUGUCCCUGUUAAGAGAUUCAAAAAUACUCUUUAAUUUCUGUAUAGUGGGGAUGUUUCUCACAUACAAUAAUCCAAUACAUUUUAUUUUUGAUAAAAAUAAAAAUGUUUAGUUCUCGUAUAAAUUUUUUUUUAUAAUUUUUUUACAUUUUGAUGGUUGCUCCUCAAUCGAUAGACAAUAAUUGGGAGGAGACUUUUCAUUAAUGUGGAAGAGUCAUGUGUCUAUUUUUGUGGUUGACUUUUUUUCAAAUUUUAUUGAUUCGGUUGAUUCGGAAUAUAAUAUUCAAUAGAGAUUUACUAGUUAUUAUAGAUUUUCGAAAUCGCAAUAACGACGUCAGUUUUAAAACCUUAUUCGAGUUUUAUCUCGUAUAAGCUCUCUUCCGUAGCUUUGUUCGGAAGAUUUUAAUGAUUUCUUCUCGAGAGAUGAGAAAGGAGGAGCAUCUUUGUCAAAUGAUUUUAUAUAGAGAUUUAGACAGACACUUGAGAAAUAUUUUUACCAAAUUAUCUUAUGUAGGGAAUUUGAUUUUAAAUAAUUGUAAAUUUUUAUUAGAUUUUAGAACUGGUAUAAUCGUCUCUCUAUUUGAGAUAAUAUUUCUGAUAAAAUUUUAUUAAUAUAAUUAGUAGUUUUGUUUUAAAAAAAAAAUAAAAAAACUUUCAAUUGCUGGAUAAAAAUUCUUUAAAGUUUGAUCCUUCAUUUUCUUUCUAUGCAUAGCGAAAGUCCUUAAAAGUUAAUGGAUAUUUUUCUUAGUAUUGAAAACUUAUUUUCUCGACUAAUUAUUUAAAUCUUUAAACUUGAUUAACUCAUUAAGUGAAUAAGCAGUGACUCCCAAAGUUUUAAGUAUCUUAUAUUAAAAAAAUCGUGCGAUCCCAUUCCACAUUUUAAAAAUAAAAUCUGAUAAUUGUUGGAUAUCUGCUAUACAGAUCGCAGUCGAAUCCACGUAGGAGAGUCAGGUCGUAACUUAUCAGAGUUCAAUAUGCAACCUUGUCUUCUAACACACAGCUCAAAUUACGUUUGGACAGAACGGCACUCGUACCCAAUAGAGAAGGAUCUAUCUCACUUGACUUGAUAGGUCAGGAGGGGAUAGACCCCUGCACAUACAAAACCAUAUCAGCACGGAUGCCAGAAUGGAGAAAGGGAACGGUACGUCCAUACGUAUAGUUCUGUAUAAUAACGACAUGUAGCACCGUAGUAAAAUAGCGGUUAUAUAUCAUCAAAAAAUAAAAAAAAAAAUAAAAAAUAAAAAAAGAUGACGUAAACUAUUCGGAUUAAAUUUAUGUAUACAUACCCAAAACUCUAUUCGUUUUUGGAUUUCAGAUCAUAAAAAACAAAAGAGGGUAUUAAUGAUGAACCUAUUCUCACUAUUAUCAAAUUGGAUAAGAAUAAAUUUAUUACUAUAUAUGUUUAAUAUUGAUAGCAUUCACACCUCUAAUUAGUUAACCUACUUAAACUAAUUUAUGAUUAGAAGAGUUCCCAUAUUUUUAAAUUUAUAUUCUUAUUAUCUUAUAUAAAUACUUAUAAACAAAAUUCUACUUAGCCCUAAAAGUUAAAAACUUUCUUAUAAUCCAUGAAAUAUCUUUCUAGUUUUUAUUCCUUUCUUACCCUAAAUAGCUAAUCAUGACCAUUAAUUCAUUAAUCUCAUUGUCUGAUACCAUUGGAAGACAAGAAGAAAAUUUCUACUUUGGCACUAAAGCUUUAACUUUAAGUAAAAGAAGAAUAUUUUUGUGUGAAACUGAAAAAGAUUAUAUACUAAAGCAGCACUUCCAUUCCACUGGUUCAAUUUCAACUUGGACACUCUGAUUUUUAUUAGGGAAAGUUAGUUCCUUCCAAGUUCCAUUUCAUUCCAUCCAAACACUUUUCCUUCAAGUACAUAAAUAAUAAUAAUAAAAAAAAUCUUUUAUUAAAUGGAUAUUUACACAUGUAUUUUAAUAUUUUUAUCUAUUAAAUAUCUUAAAUUUGAUCGUGUUUUCUAACAAGCCUUUAAAUUAAAAAAAUAUAUUUUAAAAUACAAUUUUGUCAAAUUCAUGAUUUUAAAAUUGUGUUUAAAAAUAAUUUUUUAAAUUUAUAGUUUUAAAACUAUGUUUAAAAGUAAUUUUUAAAAUUGUGUUUAAAAAUAGAUUUUUUAAAAAAAUUUAAGUAUUUAAAAUAAUAUUUUUAAAGUUUAAGUAUUUAUUAAAUUAUGAUUAAAGUUGAGAUAUCUAUAGUUUGUCCUCUAUAGUUUGCACUUAAUAAGGCUUUAAAUAUUGUACCUACAAUUUUUUUUUUUAUGUUAUAAUAACAUAUAUAAAUUAACUAUUACAAUUUUAUUUUAUUUAUAAAAAAUUUCUCAAAAUACUUUUUAGUAUUUAAUAAAAUUUAAUAUUUUAAAAUAGAUAUACUUAAAAUAUUUAAUAAAAAUUCUUUUUUAAUAUAUACAAAAAUUAAAGUUGAUAAAAAUUAUGAGAUGGGAGAUAAUAUUUUUAGAUGAAUUUAAAUUCAAAGAGAAUUUUUUAAUAUAAAAAAUAUAUUAAAUUUUAAUUUUAAAAUCUAUAUUAACUGUUAAUGAUGAAAUUAAGUAAUAAUUUGAGUUUUAUAGAUAUAUAUAAAUAUAUUUAUAAUUUAUAGUAUUUUAUAUUAUGAUUUUAUUAUACUCUUUUGAAAAGUUUAAGCCUCGUUUUUAAUAAAAUUUAAAGAUAUAAAAAUAUAUUUAUUUUAAACAAUAUAUAUUAAAUGCAUAAUCUUUCUAUUUAAAGAUUUGAUGCAUGCAGUUUUAAAUUGAAUAAAUUAAAAUUUAAAAUUUUAAUAUUUAUAAAAAUUAAAUUGAUUUUAGAUAAAAUUUAAAUGGAAUCAAAUCAAUAUAAUUCGAUUUAAUUCAGUUUUAAUCAAUUAAAUUUUUUAAUAGAUUUUUUUAAUUUUUAUAUUUUAUUUUUAAUAUUUUAAAAUUUAAUUAUAAUCUAAUUUUUUUAUAUUAUUAAAAAUAAAAUAUUAUAAUUAUUAAUCAAUUUGUUUUAUUUUUUUAAUUUUUUUAUUAAAAUUAAAUUGAAAUAAUUAAAAUUUUUAAAAUUAAAAAUUUAAUAAAAUCAAAAUAAAUAAAAAAUUAAAUUAAAUUAAUUUAUUAAUUUUUUAUUUAAAUUGGAUAAUCAUCAUUCUAUUUUAAUAACCACAGAUUCGCUGGGCAAAAAUUUAAGAGAAUUAAAAUAACACGUAUAUAUGUUGUAUUAUAUUAAAUUAUAUUGCGGUAAAUAAAAGCUGCGGGCUAUAUGACUAUGCAGCCACCUCAGCUCCUCCAUUACAUCAACUUUUUCACCUUUUACCCCAAAAAAGCAAAGAAAAACUCCAUUUUUAAAGUUCGCCGGCACACUUUUCCCCAUUUCAAAUUUUCCCAGAAAAAGGGGGAAAAUCCAAAAUUUUAAAGGGAAAAUUAAACCCUGAAAUUCUUUCCAAUGAAAGUUUGACCAAAUUGCCAAUUUGAAGGGACAAUAUUCCAAGAAGUGGAGCUGCGUCUGUCACUGCCUGUGACCCUGAAGGAGAGUGACUGACCAACCAAAAUAGAAUUUGAUUGCCAGUUUUGACCCCAAUUGCGGCUCAUGCUCAUCCAUCCAGUCUUUGAGCCCUUCACGCUCGCCUUCACUAUAUCUCCUGCACCUGCGACGUUGGUGAUCAAUACCAAGUUGAAAUAACGGAAGCCGUUGAUUGUGAACCUGAUUCCUCCUUGCUUCCUGCAUGGCACCCUACAAAAUCAUGGAAAUUUAAUUAUUUUUCUUUUAUGUUUUAAUAAUUUACAAAAUGUGUUACAAACAAUGUAAUUCAGUUAAAUUUAGAAUUGCUAUUUAAAAAAAAAAUUAUUGCAUAAAUACUAUUUAAAAAAAUUAAAGUUUAAAAUAAAUUAUUUAAAUUAAAAAAAAAAUACCAUUAGCGAUAAUAAAUUCAAAUACUUUUCCAAAAGGUGUAAAUUUGUGAAUAAUUUUCCUUGAAAUUUUUUCAAAGAAAGAACACCAGAAAGGAGUUAACAGAGUAAGAAAACGAUCAUUUUACCGGCGAUAGGAUACAGGGACGAUUCCGGCAUGGUACUCGGCGAUCUUGAGGAACAUGGGCAUGGCAAGAUCAAAGUGAGGGCGAGGAGGGUUGCACCACCCGCCAUUGUCAUUAGGCAGAGCAUAGUUAGGAGGGCAAAAGUUGGUGGCAGUGAUAAAGAUUGAUGGGCUGCCGGAGUGGCACCAUUGUGGGUCAUUAGCGCACUUGAUUUCGAAACAAGCACCGCAACUAAGUCCAUUGUUGAAAAGGGCUGUGCUCAGCGCUGCAGUGUUCACCCCAUAGCCUUGGCUGUAGAGGUUUCCAUAGCCACAGGCGCCACCUGCACACAAACAAACAGAAUGAUAAGAUCAUUUUCAAUUUCUAACGGAUGGGCUUUUCUUGGAAAAUGCACAACACAUCAUGGGUCAAUUAUGAAAAAUGCAGAUACCCUCGAGAGGUGAAGAACAGAGCAAAUACAGAUGAAUAAAAUCAGUGGAAAUUGUAUCUACUUUUUGAAAAAUGAUGAGCUUAACAAGUAGUAUAGCUGAAAAUUGCAGUACCCAUUGUUCCAGAUGCAUCACUACCACCAUAGAAAGUAGCAUGGGCGCUCUGCCAGGAUCCACCAGUGUAAACACCAGGAAUUCUUGCAUCAGCAAGAGUCAGCAACAGCACUACAGACACAACACCAAAUGCAGACCUUGCAGCCAUUGAUUUGUUCACUAAUCUAUGCUCUAAAGAGAAGAGAGAAAAAGAGAGAGAUGAGGAUUUUUAGGGUGGUGGGGUGUGAGAAGAAAGCAAAGAGAGGGCUGGUAUUUAUGGAUGCAAGAGGGAUGAGAUUGUGAAAAAAGAGAAACCCAAUUAUCAUCCUUAAUCAAUGGUGUUUAUUUGUUCUCUAGUUAAUUAAACCAAAAACCUUUUCUUUCUUUUGCCUCUACGGCGGUAAUCCUUUCAACGUUUGGGAAUCUUUAUUGGUCUUUAUUGCAAUUUAAUGCUCUUUAUUAUUUGACAGAAAUGCCCUUAGGGUUUUACCAUUUUGGGAAUAGUGUCAUUAUGGUUUUAGUAAAAAGUAUGGGCAUAUGAGGGAAUGAUGCUUUAAGGCCGAGUAUGAAAGGGCUUUGCUUCACUUGCAAGUCCUUUCCAUUCCUUUACUUUGGUUUCCUUUCCUUUUGGUUUCUUUUUGAGACUUUUCCCUCUCUUGAAUGGGAGGUGAUGGAGUUGAAUUUGGAGGGAACUACUAGUUGGUAGUAC
rnacentral:lncRNA from 1 species